rnacentral:misc_RNA from 1 species
UCCGAGUUGACCCCGGCAGUCUCCGAUGAGUCCCCGCCAUGACGCGCUGGCAACAUCGAACGAGGGUUGCGCUCGUUGCGGGACUUAACCCAACAUCUCACGACACGAGCUGACGACAACCAUGCACCACCUGUACACUGCCCCAAAGGACCCCGCAUCUCUGCGAGUUUUCGGCGUAUGUCAAGCCUUGGUAAGGUUCUUCGCGUUGCAUCGAAUUAAACCACAUGCUCCACCGCUUGUGCGGGCCCCCGUCAAUUCCUUUGAGUUUCAGCCUUGCGGCCGUACUCCCCAGGCGGGGCACUUAAUGCGUUAGCGCCGGCACUCAGAGGGUCGCUCCCCCAAGCACCUAGUGCCCAUCGUUUACGGCGUGGACUAC